rnacentral:rRNA from 1 species
AGCGUAGACGGCAAGGCAAGUCUGAUGUGAAAACCCAGGGCUUAACCCUGGGACUGCAUUGGAAACUGUCUGGCUCGAGUGCCGGAGAGGUAAGCGGAAUUCCUAGUGUAGCGGUGAAAUGCGUAGAUAUUAGGAGGAACACCAGUGGCGAAGGCGGCUUGCUGGACGAUGACUGACGUUGAGGUUCGAAAGCGUGGGGAGCAAACA